AACGAACGCUGGCGGCAGGCCUAACACAUGCAAGUCGAGCGCCCAGCAAUGGGAGCGGCGGACGGGUGAAUAACACGUGGGAAUAUGCCUUUCGGUACGGAAUAACGCAGGGAAACUUGCGCUAAUACCGUAUACGCCCUCAGGGGGAAAGAUUUAUCGCCGAAAGAUUAGCCCGCGUAGGAUUAGCUAGUUGGUGAGGUAACGGCCCACCAAGGCUACGAUCCUUAGCUGGUUUGAGAGAACGAUCAGCCACACUGGGACUGAGACACGGCCCAGACUCCUACGGGAGGCAGCAGUGGGGAAUCUUGGGACAAUGGAGGAAACUCUGAUCCAGCCAUGCCGCGUGAGUGAUGAAGGCCUU
rnacentral:rRNA from 1 species